rnacentral:rRNA from 1 species
AGUGAACGCUGGCGGUAGGCCUAACACAUGCAAGUCGAACGGCAGCACAGUAAGAGCUUGCUCUUACGGGUGGCGAGUGGCGGACGGGUGAGGAAUACAUCUGAAUCUACUUUUUCGUGGGGGAUAACGUAGGGAAACUUACGCUAAUACCGCAUACGACCUACGGGUGAAAGCAGGGGAUCUUCGGACCUUGCGCGAUUGAAUGAGCCGAUGUCGGAUUAGCUAGUUGGCGGGGUAAAGGCCCACCAAGGCGACGAUCCGUAGCUGGUCUGAGAGGAUGAUCAGCCACACUGGAACUGAGACACGGUCCAGACUCCUACGGGAGGCAGCAGUGGGGAAUAUUGGACAAUGGGCGCAAGCCUGAUCCAGCCAUACCGCGUGGGUGAAGAAGGCCUUCGGGUCGUAAAGCCCUUUUGUUGGGAAAGAAAAGCAGCAGGUUAAUACCCCGCUGUUCUGACGGUACCCAAAGAAUAAGCACCGGCUAACUUCGUG